GUGAAACGGGCCGUCCCCAUACCCCGUCCGGUAUGGGCGCCAAAACACAUAAAAUCUCCAUACCCCGUCCGGUAUGGGAGACCACAAUCCCGGUAGGGUUCCCUACGAACCCGGUCCGUCCACCAUCUCCCAGGAUAUCUAGUCAGGCUGACCACAUUAUACAAUUACCCAUUUACAUAAUCUAUCAUUCUCUUCUCCCUCAGUCAACAUCAUCAAUCCACAUACAAACAAGCAAAACAGUAAUUUAUGCCAAACAGACAGACAUACAGCAUCAAUAUCCCAAUCAUUCAAUCCAUAAUCGGUAAAACAGUAAAAUAUGCACACGAAACUAU
rnacentral:lncRNA from 1 species